CAUCCCGCUAUCCAGCUCUCUCCUGACGCCCACCUCAACCCGGAGUCGCUCCUCCUGCCGUCACCCAAGCCCCAGAACCACAGCCCUCUCCUUGCAGCGUUCAGGAAAACCUCCUCUCUGUCAGCCAGCCUGCACUUCCGGAAAGCCGGGCACUUCCGGAAAGCCAGGCACUUCCGGGAUCCGGGGCACUGUGGGAUAGCGGAGGACUGACCUCUGGUCGCCCGUAGGAGGCAUUCCCAUCACGUUCCGAGAGUCUCCAGGGGCAGCCCUGUGGUCCGGCGGUCCCUGCCUGCCUUCAGCUCUCCUUAACAUGAUGGGGUCCGGCUUCACCUCGCCGAGGGCGCGCCCCCCACUGAAGGCCCCGGUGUUGAGGAGGGCCUGGCUGCCCUGGCAGGACCCCCAGUGAGGGUUUAUGUGUGCGCUGCUCUGUUGGCCAGAACCCCAACAGUAGAGUAUUCAACAGCAGCAGAUUGGAAUGAACGUGGUUCUUAAAAUUGAAAUAGAAGAAAACAUAUAAAGAGGAGCCAGUUGAGCCACAGAUGCUGCAUAAAGAAACAGUGGACUUGGAACACACAAAAGAAGGAAAGUGGCAGAGUCUUGACUAGCAAGUGCUUCCUGUCCUUCACAUUGCAACUCCUUAAGAGCUGUACAGACAACUUCUUGCAUAGGGACUAGAUGGGUUCCCACGACUUAAAAGUGUUAGCAUCCUUGGUCCGUCCGCUGAUCCCUAAGGAGAGAAGGCAGGGAAGACUGGUAACCACUUAUCCCUCUGGAAAAGCUGGAGCUGGAGGUGGUUGGGAUAAAUAGGUAGGGAAUAGAAAGCGGAAUGCAUAAGCAUUUGUUUUGGAGACCAUGAAAAGUUUUCCUUAGCUGUCCUUUGUCCACAUGCAAAUGUGAAAAUACAGAAAGCUUUGUAUUUGCCGGAUAUCUUGCUACCAUACUGAAGUGUCUUUUUCAGUUCACCAAGUAUGUUAGCAGUGAAUUUGGGAGUUAGAAAUGUUACCCUAAUUGGAAGAAAUUUCAGAUUUUCCUUUGGGUAUUCCGUUUCCUUAAUGUUGAUUAAAUCCUUCAACAGUAUGUAAGAUGUUAAAAGCUGUGUUUAUGUCUGCUUCUACAUCAGUAACUGCCGUGUUAGAGAAAUGUAAUUGACAUCUAAUUGCAAUCAUCUGUUAAUCUUUUAAAAGUCACAGAAUCAUAAGAAUUUAGAACUGGAAGAACCUUAAAGAGCUUUUGGUUUAGCCUCUUCCUUUCACAAAUCAGUAAACAGUGGCUCAGAGAGGCUGAGCCCCACUAUUUCAGACAGUCCUCUUACAGGGCUUUCCUCAGGAUUUUGCAUGGUGAUGAUGGGCAGAGACCCACAGAGCCUUCCAAUCGCAGUAGGCAUAAGUGAA